rnacentral:lncRNA from 1 species
GAAAAACUUCAUUCUCAGAUCCAACUUAAACCUCCCCUGUCUCACCUGAAGACCACUCCUGCAUCUCCUAUUACAACCCACCCUCGGAAACAGCCAUUCCCCCUCCUGCUUUGGCGCUCCCUUUAAGUACUGGAAGGCCACCAGGAGGUCUCCAUGGAGCCUUCUCUUCGCCAAGCUAAACCAUCCCAGUUCCCUCCACCUUUCCUCAUACGAGAGGUGCUCCAGCCCUCUGACCAUCUUAGUGGCCCUCCUCUGGACCCACUCCAAGAACUUCCCGUCUUGAGGAGAAGAGAGAAUAAAGGUAAGGCAGACGCUGAGAAGGACAAGAGCAAAAGCAGAGAAGAACAGGCACAGGUAAGAAAGAAGAGCAGAAGAGGAGGAGAAGAAAAAGAGAGGAUGAAGUACGGAGAGGAAGCAGGGGAAAAAAACACUGAAGAGCACGGAUAGAGAUGAAAGAGCAGUGAGGAUACACAGAGGAUAGAACAGCAGAAGAGA